UACGGAGGGUGCGAGCGUUAAUCGGAAUUACUGGGCGUAAAGCGCACGUAGGCGGUUGUAUAAGUGGGAUGUGAAACCCCCGGGCUUAACCUGGGACUUGCAUACCAGACUGUAUGACUAGAGUAUGGUAGAGGGUGGUGGAAUUUCCGGUGUGGCGGUGAAAUGCGUAGAGAUCGGAAGGAACAUCAGUGGCGAAGGCGGCCACCUGGACCAAUACUGACGCUGAGGUGCGAAAGCGUGGGGAUCAAACAGGAUUAGAAACCCGUGUAGU
rnacentral:rRNA from 1 species